UUUGAAUGCCGUUGGCGGCAGGCCUAACACAUGCAAGUCGAGCGGAUGAGAAGAGCUUGCUCUUCGAUUCAGCGGCGGACGGGUGAGUAAUGCCUAGGAAUCUGCCUGGUAGUGGGGGACAACGUUUCGAAAGGAACGCUAAUACCGCAUACGUCCUACGGGAGAAAGCAGGGGACCUUCGGGCCUUGCGCUAUCAGAUGAGCCUAGGUCGGAUUAGCUAGUUGGUGAGGUAAUGGCUCACCAAGGCGACGAUCCGUAACUGGUCUGAGAGGAUGAUCAGUCACACUGGAACUGAGACACGGUCCAGACUCCUACGGGAGGCAGCAGUGGGGAAUAUUGGACAAUGGGCGAAAGCCUGAUCCAGCCAUGCCGCGUGUGUGAAGAAGGUCUUCGGAUUGUAAAGCACUUUAAGGUGGGAGGAAGG
rnacentral:rRNA from 1 species